AUGUGGCGUUGCUGCCCAGGCCUAAACGCCAUGAGCUUUGGCGUUUAUAGCUUGGGAGCUGGAGGGUGCGACGACAGCAGCACAGGGCCGCCUUGCACGGGGUGGGUGGAGAUCAUGGUCCCGGUGUUCUCCCGCGCGGCGUGGCGCUGCAGCUGGGGCAUGGUGCAGAACGACCUGGUGCACGUGUGGGGCCUCAACCACAAGCUCGGCUACUGCACGCAGGGAGCUAAUCGUUACCUCAGGCAGGAGCGUCGCGCUCUCGCCUCUCUCCAUGGCGUCCAUGUCGCUGACGAGCUAUAUGUCUAG
rnacentral:rRNA from 1 species